rnacentral:rRNA from 1 species
UACGAAGGGAGCUAGCGUUGUUCGGAAUCACUGGGCGUAAAGCGCACGUAGGCGGAUGUGUCAGUCAGGGGUGAAAUCCCGGAGCUCAACUUCGGAACUGCCUUUGAUACAGCACAUCUUGAGUCCGGAAGAGGUGGGUGGAAUUCCUAGUGUAGAGGUGAAAUUCGUAGAUAUUAGGAAGAACACCGGUGGCGAAGGCGGCCCACUGGUCCGGUACUGACGCUGAGGUGCGAAAGCGUGGGGAGCAAACAGG